rnacentral:rRNA from 1 species
AUUGAACGCUGGCGGCAGGCUUAACACAUGCAAGUCGAGCGGGGGAGGUUGCUUCGGUAACUGACCUAGCGGCGGACGGGUGAGUAAUGCUUAGGAAUCUGCCUAUUAGUGGGGGACAACAUCUCGAAAGGGAUGCUAAUACCGCAUACGUCCUACGGGAGAAAGCAGGGGACCUUUGGGCCUUGCGCUAAUAGAUGAGCCUAAGUCGGAUUAGCUAGUUGGUGGGGUAAAGGCCUACCAAGGCGACGAUCUGUAGCGGGUCUGAGAGGAUGAUCCGCCACACUGGGACUGAAACACGGCCCAGACUCCUACGGGAGGCAGCAGUGGGGAAUAUUGGACAAUGGGGGGAACCCUGAUCCAGCCAUGCCGCGUGUGUGAAGAAGGCCUUUUGGUUGUAAAGCACUUUAAGCGAGGAGGAGGCUACUGGUAUUAAUACUACCGGAUAGUGGACGUUACUCGCAGAAUAAGCACCGGCUAACUCUGUGCCAGCCGCCGCCGUAAGAC